UUUACAACCCCUGGUAAGCCCCAAUUAUGGGAGGAAGCUAAAAAAAAAAAAUCAUAUAUAUAUAUAUAAUCUGUUAUAAAGUAGCUGUGUCUUUUCUUGGUCUUACACAUCUGCUGGCGUACAAUUUUGGAUAAAGAGUUUUGGUUUCAAAAUGUUUUGUGCAGACCUACAUGCCCUCCAAAUCAUAUGCUGCCUUUUGAAUCUGAAUUGCUCUACAACCUUCCCCUGUCCUUACCACUUUCUGUAGAGGAAUGAUUUAGAGCAUCCUGUCAUAUGAGGGAUGUGUGCAUGCUCUGAGCACACAUUGACCAGCCACUCAUGUGUCCUAGUGGCCAAAAGGCCACGGUCCAGUAGUACAUCUUGGCCCACAGCUUGGAAACGCCUUUUAAGCUGCUCACAAUUUAAAGCAUGUUGCUGAAAAAUCCAUAUUGAUUUCUAUGCAAUUCAGCAUGCUUUUUCUACUUAAGUCAUCUUAUGUAAUAGGCCAGUCAAACAAUGGGUAGCACAGAGACUGACUCUGAUUUGUCAGUUUCUUUUGCUAGAAAGAUUUGUGGUAGUGAGUUUAUGCUUGGUGAUAUCAAAUUGUGUAAAGAUCCUUGAUCAGUGAACUUUCACUUUUUUAGUUGGAAUUAAUUAGCUUUAGCAGUAAUUGCUUUGGAUUACAAUCCUAAGGUUUUUUUAAGGUGCAUAAUUGAGCAUAGUUAAGUUUCUUUCUGAAUAAUUCUUUUGACGAUUAUUUUUUGCAGCCUUUUCAAUAUUUUACAUUUGAAAACUACUGAAAAUAUAAAGUGUUUAGUUUGCAAUCCAGAUCAAGUUCAGUGUUGAAUAUAUCUCACUUUGGGUAGAAAAGUAAACUCUUAAUGAUAUAGCCUUUUAAAGUCAGAUUUAAUUAUGUUUAGCAUAUACUUGUUAAAUGUAACAUGGAAAGGUAAAUGUUUUCUUGUAAAAAUAAUAUUUAGCUUUUUUUGUCAGUUAUAGCCUGAUUAAAUGACCAGUUAUAUGUGAUAAAUUGAAAAAUGGUACUUCUGCUAUUAGUUGAAAUAACUCUAGUCCAGAUGUGCUGAAAUUUCUGCUCUCUGUGCCAAAAGCAAUUGUCCUUAUAAGAGCAGGUAUUAGAAAAAGAGACAAAUGACCUAAGCUUCCUUUUUCAAUCCAGGUAAAAAACUUUAUGGAUGUUCAUCCUGAUUAUGGUGCAGGCAUUCAAGCCCAUCUGGAUAAACACAAUGCUAAAGGGAAAAGAAAGGAUCAAAUUCAUACUUAUACACAAACUUCAUUCACUGGAAAGGAGAAAUCUCAACUGUAAAUGGCAUGUGAUCGUAUUGGAAAUCUUCAUUUGAAACUGGAAAAUGAGAUAUGAAAAGCUUUGCCUCCUGCCUUCUCUGCUAUUAACGGCAAUAUAUAACCAAGUGUGAUUCUAUUUUAACAGCAAAUUGAAUUAACUAUAUAGAUUAUUAAUUUGGAAACUAUCCCGAAUGUAUCUUUGAUAUGUUAUGUCUGAAAUGUACAAGAAUAAUAACUUUGUAUCUAAUUUUGUUUAUUAACAUGUUUUAUUCUUUGGAUUGAUCUUUCAUUUAUUUAGCAAAAGAACGCACAUUCAUGGGAUUUAUAUUUUUUACUGGUAGUAUCACAAAUCCUUUUCAAAUGGGUAUUAAAAAUGGAAAAACAGUUUUUAAGAACUAUAACUGAAUGUAAAUCUUUUUAACAGCAAAUCUUCACAUAGUACAUUAUAAAACUAUUAUAAAGUACUUGAGGGACAAUUAUAUUUAAAUGUGAAAUUUACCUAUGCUAUGAAAACUUUAUAUACAAUAGUAUUAAGUUCUAAGCUGUUAGCUGCAAAUACAAAAGCAUUUCAAUUUGAAGACCCUUUAAGAAAAACAAUAUAGAUAACAUGCUGAAUCUGUGAUGAUAAAUAACUAUGAAAUAGCAUGUCUGAAAUAGUGUAACAAUUUUGUGUUUAUUUUUGCCUGAUUUGUAUUCUUGUAACAAAUCUCACAUUUAUUCUUUGAAAGAAUAUAUAUGUCUUCUUUCUUUUAUUGGUAAUCCUGACAUCAGUACUAUAAGUAAAUAAAAUCCUUAUUAAAUAAAUAUUAAUAAUUAAAGCAAUUUUAAAUAAAUAUACAUUAUAUAUGAAUGUUUUUAACAUAAAAUCUGCAUUCAUAUGGUACCCUUAAGAAUUGUUACAAUACCUGAUGGAUUAUGUUAAGUGCAAAUUUUAUUUGUUCUUGGACUAAAUGUUUCUUUUGUGGCUUCAGGAUGGAUCUCAACAGCAGACUUUUGAAACAAAAAUUAAUGGAACAUUUUUAUAAUGCUCAUUCUACAAUAAAAUUCUCAUAAAGUA